AUGGCGGUGCCGCUUCUGACGAGGAAGAUCGUGAAGAAGAGGGUCAAGCACUUCAAGAGGGCCCAUAGCGACCGCUACAUUGGCCUCAAGCAAAGCUGGCGCAGGCCAAAGGGUAUCGAUUCCCGUGUCAGGAGAAAGUUCAAGGGAUGCACCUUGAUGCCCAACAUUGGCUACGGUUCUGACAAGAAGACGAGGCAUUACCUUCCCAACAAGUUCAAGAAGUUUGUUGUCCACAAUGUCUCUGAGCUGGAGCUGCUUAUGAUGCACAACAGGACCUACUGUGCGGAGAUCGCCCACAACGUCUCCACCAAGAAGCGCAAGGACAUUGUUGAGCGUGCUGCUCAGCUCGACAUCGUGGUUACGAACAAGCUUGCCAGGCUCCGCAGCCAGGAGGACGAGUAG
rnacentral:rRNA from 1 species